CAGCCGCCACGGUAAUACGAGGGGGGCAAGCGUUGUUCGGAAUUAUUGGGCGUAAAGGGUGCGUAGGCGGUUCAGCAAGUCUCGUGUGAAAUCUUCGGGCUCAACCCGAAGUCUGCACGGGAAACUACUGGGCUUGAGUAAUGGAGAGGUGAGUGGAAUUUCCGGUGUAGCGGUGAAAUGCGUAGAUAUCGGAAGGAACACCUGUGGCGAAAGCGGCUCACUGGACAUUUACUGACGCUGAAGCACGAAAGCUAGGGGAGCAAACAGGAUUAGAGACCCCUGUAGUCCCUGUCUCUUAUAC
rnacentral:rRNA from 1 species